UACGAACCGUGCGAACGUUGUUCGGAAUCACUGGGCUUGAAGGGCGCGUAGGCGGGCGGUCAAGUCUGUGGUGAAAUCCUUCGGCUCAACCGGAGAAUAGCUGGAGAUACUGGCCGUCUCGAGGGGGGUAGGGGCAUGUGGAACUUCCGGUGGAGCGGUGAAAUGCGUAGAUAUCGGAAGGAACGCCGGUGGCGAAAGCGACGUGCUGGACCCUUUCUGACGCUGAGGCGCGAAAGCCAGGGGAGCAAACGGG
rnacentral:rRNA from 1 species